rnacentral:rRNA from 1 species
UACGUAGGGGGCGAGCGUUGUCUGGAGUUACUGGGCGUAAAGCGCACGCAGGCGGUCUGUUAAGUUUGGAGUGACAGUUGGUGGCUCAACCACCAAAGUGCUUUGAAAACUGAUAGACUUGAGGGCUUCAGAGGGACACGGAAUUCCGGGUGGAGUGGUGAAAUGCGUAGAGAUCCGGAGGAACACCAAAGGCGAAGGCAGUGUCCUGGGGAGUACCUGACGCUCAGGUGCGAAAGCCAGGGGAGCGAACGGG